rnacentral:lncRNA from 1 species
AAUCACAAUGCUGUGACAGCAGCAUUUCUGCCUGUGGUAUCUGUGAAGCAGGUAAACAGCCCUGGGACAAAGAACAGACUACGGGUAUUGCCUUCUUAAUCAACAAUAAAGUAUUAGUUGGCUUCCAGGCAGACACCACUGACUUUCAAGAGAAAGGCACGGGAGUAAGGAAGUAAAGAAUUCAGGGCAAACGUCGAGCUUUCCUCUGGGCUCCAAUGUAAAAGAAGUGGAUAGCGGCUGACUAGUGUACAUAUUAUGUAUGCAGACUUUGAAGGAAUCCCCCUUGUUUUUAGCUGUUCUUCCAUUGCUCCUGGAGACUCUGAGCUCAGAGAUUUUCUAGGCUCUGAUGGGCAGAGUGGCUCGUUUCCUCCCUGAAGUUUCCUUCAUGCCACAUUCUGGAUUACAA